rnacentral:rRNA from 1 species
CGGGAGUAAUGUCUGGGAAACUGCCUGAUGGAGGGGGAUAACUACUGGAAACGGUAGCUAAUACCGCAUAACGUCGCAAGACCAAAGUGGGGGACCGUUCGGGCCUCAUGCCAUCAGAUGUGCCCAGAUGGGAUUAGCUAGUAGGUGGGGUAACGGCUCACCUAGGCGACGAUCCCUAGCUGGUCUGAGAGGAUGACCAGCCACACUGGAACUGAGACACGGUCCAG